rnacentral:rRNA from 1 species
UUAUAAUUAAUAUGAGUUUGAUCCUAGCUCCGAAUGAAUGCUAGUAAUAUGCUUAACACAUGCAAGUUAAAUAAUUUUUUAUAAAUUUAAAAAAUAAUAGCGUACGGGUGAGUAAUAUAUUAGAAUUAAUAUAAUUAUUUAGAAUAUCUAUAUUAUAUUAUAAAAAAUAUAAGAAUAUUAAAAGAAAUUUUAAUAAUAGUAAAACUAAAUAUAAAAAAAAAUUAAUUGUAAUUAAUUAAGCUAAUAUAAGAUUAUGAUAGUUGAUAAGAGAAAAGCUUACCAAGUCUAUGAUCUUUAAUUGAUUUGAGAAAAUGAUCAAUCACAUUGGAACUGAAAAACGGUCCAAACUUCAUAAGAAGGCAGCAGUGAGGAAUAUUGGACAAUGAACAAAAGUUUGAUCCAGCAAUAUUACGUAAGUGAGAAUGAAGCUUAAAUUGAGUGUAAAACUUAUUUAUUUAAAAAUAAUAAUGAUAAUAUUUAAAAUAAAGUUCCGGCUAACUCUGUGCCAGCAGCCGCGGUAAUACAGGGGGAACAAGUAUUAUUCAAAAUGACUUGGCGUAAAGAGCAUAAAGAUGGUUUAUUUAAACAAUAAAAAAAAAGAUUAAAAUAGUUGUUUUAAUAUUUUUAUAAUUUUAAAAAACUUGAGUAUAAAAAAAGAUAAUAGAAUUAUUAAUGUAGGAUUAAAAAACAAUAAUAUUAAUAAGAAUAUCAAAAGCGAAGGCAAUUAUCUAGAUUAUUACUAACAUUAAAAUGCGAAAGAAUAGGGAGUAAAUGGGAUUAGAUACCCCAGUAAUCUAUUCUGUAAAUGAUGAAUAUUAAAUAUUAAAUAGAAAUUUAGUAUUAAAGUUAACACAUUAAAUAUUCCGCCUGGGAAAUACGAUCGCAAGAUUAAAACUCAAAGGAAUUGACGGGAAUCUAUACAAGCGGUGGUGCAUGUGGUUUAAUUCGACAAUACGCGAAAAACCUUACCAAUUUUUGUAUAUUAAAUAAAUAAUUAAUAAUUAAAUUAUUUAGAUAAAAUUUAAUACAGGUGUUGCAUGGUUGUCGUCAGUUCGUGUUGUAAGAUAUUCGAUUAAUUUCUUUUAACGGGCGUGACCCUUAUUAUUAAUAUAAAUAUAUAAUAUUAUUUAAUUAAUAUAUAUAUAUCUUAAAAAAACAGUUUAUGAUAAAUAAAAGGAAGGUAAGGAUAACGUCAAAUCUUCAUGACCCUUAUAAAUUGGGCUACACACUUGCAACAAUAGUAAUUACAAAAAGAAGCAAUUUUGUAAAAAGGAGCAAAACUUUAAAAAUUAUUUUAGUUCAGAUUAUUUUUUGCAAUUUAAAAAUAUGAAGGAGGAAUCGCUAGUAAUCAUAAAUUAGUAUGUUAUGGUGAAUAUGUUCUUAGAUUUUGUACACACCGCCCGUCACACUAUGGAAAUGAUAUUAUUUUUAAAAUUAAAUAUUAAAUAAUAAUAGAUAAUUAUAAAUUAUAUAUUCAUUUAUUUAAUUUAUUAUUUAUUAUUAUUAUAUAUUUAAUUCAUUAAUGAUUAUUAACUAGAGUGAAGUCGUAACAAGGUAAUUGUAGGGGAACCUGUAGUUGGAUUAUCUAAAA